rnacentral:rRNA from 1 species
AGCUCCAAUAGCGUAUAUUAAAGUUGUUGCAGUUAAAAAGCUCGUAGUUGGAUUUCGGAGUGGGCCAGUUGGUCCGCCGCAAGGUGUGUUACUGACUGGUUUGCUCUUCUUCGCAAAGACUGCGUGUGCUCUUCAGUGAGUGUGCGUAGGAUUUACGACGUUUACUUUGAAAAAAUUAGAGUGUUCAAAGCAGGCUAUUGCUUGAAUACAUGAGCAUGGAAUAAUGGAAUAGGACUUUGGUUCCAUUUUGUUGGUUUCUAGGGCUGAAGUAAUGAUUAAGAGGGAUAAUUGGGGGCAUCCGUAUUUCGUUGUCAGAGGUGAAAUUCUUGGAUUUACGAAAGACGAACAACUGCGAAAGCACUUGCCAAGAGUGUUUGCA